rnacentral:lncRNA from 1 species
ACUGGAUGCAACCCUCUCGCACAAAGUUUGCAUCAGCUACUCUGUAGGAAUGAAAAGCUCACCAGGAAUCAGAAGAUUUCCGUCUUUGAAGGCUUGUACGUACUCUUCCGAGAGCUUUUGCCUCAGCGUGGAACGCCGCGAGGGGACAAAGUCAUCGAGGACCUGGAUGUCUUUGAGAAUUCACUGUGCUGCUGGGCUCAUCUCCUCUCGGAGGCAAAGAACCAGGCAGCAGACCGUGAGAGCUACGCACCAAUCUCUCUCACGUCUGAAGACGGCAGCCGCUUCUCUGAACCAGUCAGAGUACCUGGCGUACCGGGAGCCUUGGAACGAGCAUACGUUCUGCAGAAAAUCAAAGGUGGAGAGAAAAUUCCAAAUUGCAUUGAAGAGGUCUUGCGAGAGACGUCAAUGCAGAGAGACAUUGACGUUGAGAAGAUCUUGCUCAGUUUGCCUCCGUGCGUCAGAACAUAUCCUCUUUGGAUCGGACGAGACGAGAUGAGACGCAUUUAUUUCUGUUAAACUUGUUUGUUUUUUUUG